rnacentral:rRNA from 1 species
AGUCAGCGUAUCCGACUUGUAUUCAGCUGCGUGGUGUAACGGCCUCCGGUGCUGGCGUCUCCAGAUUGGGAACAGCGCUGGUCGGCCGAGAGCUGUGCUGUGCAUUUGCAAGUGGAGUGCGUCGAGAUUCAUGUGGUGGCGUCACAAACUUUGUUUUGAGGCCAGCUUGCUGGUACCCGAACUGGGCUAGUGAUGUUCACGCAUAUGUGUGUUUUGGGGGA